rnacentral:rRNA from 1 species
UACGGGGGGGGCAAGCGUUGUUCGGAAUUACUGGGCGUAAAGGGCGCGUAGGCGGCCUACUAAGUCGGACGUGAAAUCCCUCGGCUCAACCGGGGAACUGCGUCCGAUACUGGCGGGCUUGAGUGUGGCAGAGGGGGGUGGAAUUCCGCGUGUAGCAGUGAAAUGCGUAGAGAUGCGGAGGAACACCGAUGGCGAAGGCAGCCCCCUGGGCCAACACUGACGCUCAGGCACGAAAGCGUGGGGAGCAAACAGG